CCCGUCAAUUUUUUUGAGUUUUAAUCUUGCGACCGUACUCCCCAGGCGGUCAACUUCACGCGUUAGCUACGUUACUAAGUCAAUGAAGACCCAACAACUAGUUGACAUCGUUUAGGGCGUGGACUACCAGGGUAUCUAAUCCUGUUUGCUCCCCACGCUUUCGUGCAUGAGCGUCAGUAUCGGCCCAGGGGGCUGCCUUCGCCAUCGGUGUUCCUCCACACCUCUACGCAUUUCACUGCUACACGUGGAAUUCCACCCCCCUCUGCCAUACUCUAGCCCGCCAGUCACAAAUGCAGUUCCCGGGUUAAGCCCGGGGAUUUCACAUCUGUCUUAGCGAACCGCCUGCGCACGCUUUACGCCCAGUAAUUCCGAUUAACGCUUGCACCCUACGUAUUACCGCGGCUGCUGGCACA
rnacentral:rRNA from 1 species